rnacentral:rRNA from 1 species
ACGACGCUGGCGGCGUGCCUAAUACAUGCAAGUAGAACGCUGAAGGAGGAGCUUGCUCUUCUGAUGAGUUGCGAACGGGUGAGUAACGCGUAGGUAACCUGCCUGGUAGCGGGGGAUAACUAUUGGAAACGAUAGCUAAUACCGCAUAAUAUUGACUAUUGCAUGAUAGUCAAUUGAAAGGUGCAAAUGCACCACUACCAGAUGGACCUGCGUUGUAUUAGCUAGUUGGUGGGGUAACGGCUCACCAAGGCGACGAUACAUAGCCGACCUGAGAGGGUGAUCGGCCACACUGGGACUGAGACACGGCCCAGACUCCUACGGGAGGCAGCAGUAGGGAAUCUCCGGCAAUGGACGGAAGUCUGACCGAGCAACGCCGCGUGAGUGAAGAAGGUUUUCGGAUCGUAAAGCUCUGUUGUAAGAGAAGAACGAGUGUGAGAGUGGAAAGUUCACACUGUGACGGUAUCUUACCAGAAAGGGCGGCU